rnacentral:tRNA from 1 species
UUGGCCGAAUGGUUGAAGGUGCCGGCCUCUGAAGCAGAAGGGGCCCGGGUUUGAU